UCGCCCAUCAUUAUAUAUUGUUGAAUAAAGCCGUUAUUUCAUUUUUUGGUGCACAAAAAGUAUUCAUGUGGCUGUCUUGAGUAAGGACAGCGGCCCCAGAUGACACCACUCUGAUUAUGCAUCAUAACUGUUCAUGCCAUUUUUAUUACACCCCCAAAUGUUCAUAAUCAAAGCACCUCGUCCAUUAGCCAAUGGAGUUAACAAAGAAACCGUCUGAGAGGUAUUACUGAGGUCAGGCAUCGAGCUGUGCAAAGAGAAAACUCUUGCGCUUGCUUUUAUGCAGGAUAACCGAGAGAGGUCAGAGGUGAUCUACUAAUUAAGAUACUUUGCCUCAGUGGCAUUGGAGGAAUUCCCAUUAGCCCCUUGAAAAUGAAAGGACCAGAUAAUUACAUUCCUUUGGCACAAUUUACCAUUGUAGUGAGCUUGUGCAAAUGCAGCUCAGUUGUACUCAAACACGUAAACAAAAGGAGUUUGACUGACAGGCGAUCUAACCAAUCAUGACGCCGAAUCCACCAUUUUGUCCGACAAAGCAGUCAGGGGAGUUAGCAGAUUAACAUCAAUGGACUUGAACUUGAAAAAUGGUGUGCACUGGCGUCUUUCCGUGAUUGAAACAACAUUCCUUGUGAUGUUCAUUCAUGUUUAUUUGAUGCUAUAAAUGAAAUAGUAGGAAGAAAUGAUCGGUUCACGAGCCGCUUAAACGAGGCACUACAACGAUCUGUCACGACACUUUAAAGAGUCACAAAAUGGUAUUUAUUGUUUAAAUUUCAUAUCAAAAGUAACCUGCUCUGUCUUGUCUGUCGACGCGUUGCCAGUGUCCUCUUUGCUCCGCGAUGUAUUUUUCACUGCGCGAGAACAUGAUGUGUGGCGAGAGAUCGGCAUGGCUUGUCGGACAUAGCAAAAGUAACUAAAGGGGGCGGGUCUUUACAAAUAUACACAAAGAACACUUAUUUUCAUAGCAAUGCAAUGAGCACUUCUUAUAUUCACUGCUGUUCUCUUAGUAAGUUCACACAUUGAGAUUUAAAACUACUUUUCUCUAAUCUUCAUCUCAGCCUGUAAUCCUCCAGAUGGCUCUGUAGAGAUAUCCCUCACUUGAUCGUAGAAAAUCUUAUAAAUGGUAGGGACCUUUUAUUGUAUUACUCAAAAUGAGACACGUUGAGAACAAUUUUACUGGUACUGUUUAAUUUCUUGCCAAUUAUAGCUCUGCACCUUGUGUACUGAAGGGGAUAUUUCACCCAAAAAUGGAAAUUCUGUCAUCAUUUACUCACCUUCAUGUCAUUCCAAACCUAUAUGAGUUUCUUCAUUCUUUCAUCUUACCGACCCCAAACUUUUUAAUUUUUGUGUUGAACUGAAGAAAGUAAGUCAGAUUUAGAACAACAUGACUGAUUCACAUUUGUGUGAAUCAGUUUGUCUAUUUGCCUUCUGCAAUUAACAUUGCGCUCUUAUUUUAUCUUAUUUAUCUGCUUCAGAAAUUCACUUUUAAAAUAUACAAUGUGUUGAAUAGAGAGAUCACCAUGUACAAACCAUUGUGAUGAUGACGUGACAUUAACAAGUGUUGCAGCCUCUUUUUGUUCAUAAAUAAACAGCAUUCACUGGACGGAACCCUUCCAAGGAUUUUCCAUACAAACCCUAUUGUAUGACCCUAUUGGGAAGACCCUAUUGUCUUCCAUCUGAAAACACUCAUCGGCCACCCAAAAAAGAAAAGAAAAAAAGAAUACGCCUUAGCAAGCAAGUGGCACUCGUUCAAGUUGAGAGUGUGAGGAGCUUACGUCCUGGAGGUUAUCAGACAUAGAGACGGCUGUGGCCCAACAAAGACACUCCCCAGUUUGGAGGCGUACAGGAGCUACUGUAGCAGUCCUGCCAAGAUCAUGUGGACGAGCUUGUACUAGUAUUGCUGUAUCAUCACAGCUAGAAUGUGUCUGUGACGAGGAGGGCGGGCGAGAGCCAUGAGGGAACGGCGCGAGGCCGGUGACGAGAGUGAUAAUGAGCGACAGCUGCAUGUUGCACCGGUCUCGAAUCUCUCAUGGAGGAGCUCCGGAAGCAUAAAAGGGGAGCGACGACAGUGAAGGACGAGAGAGGAUCAGGCCUGGACUUUAAGUUAUGUUUUAUUAUGUUUGUGUGGCCGGCAGACAUCCGUGAGGGAGAGUCCUCACUGCUGAGGAGGAUUGCGGUGCUGAGGAGGUCGGGCAGCGCAGAAGACUGAAGGGUGCGAGUGGCUGCCUGAGGCGGUGGUGCUGGAGCAAGCAUACAGCAGGUGGGACGGAGAGCUCAUUGCCGUGCUCCUGGGUCAAGGUGGGAUGGCUGCUGUCCAAGAGGGAGUGGAGGAGUUGCCAUCGUUCUCUGUGGGCUGGAGCCUGCUACCGUCCGCCAUGAAGGGGAGGAGCAGGGAAUGGGGGACUCGCUACCGGCUGCCCUCAGCCGGAGGAGCCAUCGCCGGCCGCCAGGGGGCGGAGGAGGAUCGAGCCGUCCACCGAGCGUCCAGUACCAUCGCAUGGCACUGCGAGGAAGAGCCUCUCGGCUGGCUGAGGACCGAGCGGCAGUGUGUCCGAGAACCGGACCAAGAAUUUUUUUUUCUUUUCCUUUUUCCUCUCUUCCCUCUCUCGUCUGUCGCUCCCUGUGCUUCCGUCUCCUUUUCUCUCGUCUCAUCUGUCCUUACACCCAGGUGCUGCGGCCGCUGAGACUGGCCCCCGGGGGGAGUAGAGCGCAGUCUCGGGAGUACCCCCCGGCCUGCGAGGGGUGAUGGAGGUAUGUGACGAGCAGGGUGGGCGAGAGCCGUGAGGGACGCAAGUGAUAAUGAGCGAAUCUCGAAUGACUCGAAUCUCUCACGGAGGAGCUCUGGAAGCAUAAAAGGGGAGUGACGACAGUGAAGGACGAGAGAGGACCAGGCCUGGACUUUGUUUUAUUAUGUUUGUGUGGCUGGCAGACGUCCGUGAGGGUCUGCCGGAAUUACUUUCGUUUUGUAUUUGUAUAUUUUAUAUAUUAAAAUUAUGUUGAACCUUCGCCGGUUCCUGCCUCCUUCUUCCCGUAUCUACGAACUGUGUUACAGUGUCUGUGAAGUUUAAGCUCAAAAUACCCCACAGAUUAUUUAUUAUAGCUUGUCAAAUUUGACAAAUUUGAAAACGCAAAUGAGCUGCUGCUCCCAGCCCCCUUUCCAGAAGAGGGCAGAGCUUUAACAGCUCUCGCUUCGGUUGCUCAACAACAACAAAGCUGGAGAAUCUCAAGCAGCCAAAAUGAUGAUUGUCAGUAACGGUGUUCAGCCUUACAUUGUUCAAACCGGAAUCGGAUGGAGAGACUCAGGAAGAAGGAGAACUAAAGAUUCUUAUGAUACUGAACUGAAUUGAAUUAACAUUUUUCUGACUUGAACUGAAUAAUGAGCUGAAUAAACUAUUGUCUUCUGUAGAGCUGCUUUGUAGCUGAAUUGAAUUUGUUUCAUAAUUGAUAAAUUUUGAAUAAAUGUGACAUGAAUUGCUUUGUGA